rnacentral:rRNA from 1 species
GGCUCACCUAGGCGACGAUCCCUAGCUGGUCUGAGAGGAUGACCAGCCACACUGGAACUGAGACACGGUCCAGACUCCUACGGGAGGCAGCAGUGGGGAAUAUUGCACAAUGGGCGCAAGCCUGAUGCAGCCAUGCCGCGUGUGUGAAGAAGGCCUUCGGGUUGUAAAGCACUUUCAGCGGGGAGGAAGGCGGUGAGGUUAAUAACCUCAUCGAUUGACGUUACCCGCAGAAGAAGCACCGGCUAACUCCGUGCCAGCAGCCGCGGUAAUACGGAGGGUGCAAGCGUUAAUCGGAAUUACUGGGCGUAAAGCGCACGCAGGCGGUCUGUCAAGUCGGAUGUGAAAUCCCCGGGCUCAACCUGGGAACUGCAUUCGAAACUGGCAGGCUAGAGUCUUGUAGAGGGGGGUAGAAUUCCAGGUGUAGCGGUGAAAUGCGUAGAGAUCUGGAGGAAUACCGGUGGCGAAGGCGGCCCCCUGGACAAAGACUGACGCUCAGGUGCGAAAGCGUGGGGAGCAAACAGGAUUAGAUACCCUGGUAGUCCACGCCGUAAACGAUGUCGAUUUGGAGGUUGUGCCCUUGAGGCGUGGCUUCCGGAGCUAACGCGUUAAAUCGACCGCCUGGGGAGUACGGCCGCAAGGUUAAAACUCAAAUGAAUUGACGGGGGCCCGCACAAGCGGUGGAGCAUGUGGUUUAAUUCGAUGCAACGCGAAGAACCUUACCUGGUCUUGACAUCCACAGAACUUUCCAGAGAUGGAUUGGUGCCUUCGGGAACUGUGAGACAGGUGCUGCAUGGCUGUCGUCAGCUCGUGUUGUGAAAUGUUGGGUUAAGUCCCGCAACGAGCGCAACCCUUAUCCUUUGUUGCCAGCGGUUAGGCCGGGAACUCAAAGGAGACUGCCAGUGAUAAACUGGAGGAAGGUGGGGAUGACGUCAAGUCAUCAUGGCCCUUACGACCAGGGCUACACACGUGCUACAAUGGCAUAUACAAAGAGAAGCGACCUCGCGAGAGCAAGCGGACCUCAUAAAGUAUGUCGUAGUCCGGAUUGGAGUCUGCAACUCGACUCCAUGAAGUCGGAAUCGCUAGUAAUCGUAGAUCAGAAUGCUACGGUGAAUACGUUCCCGGGCCUUGUACACACCGCCCGUCACACCAUGGGAGUGGGUUGCAAAAGAAGUAGGUAGCUUAACCUUCGGGAGGGCGCUUACCACUUUGUGAUUCAUGACUGGGGUGAAGUCGUAACAAGGUAACCGUAGGGGAACCUGCGGUUGGAUCACCUCCUUACCUUAAAGAA